UACGUAGGGGGCAAGCGUUGUCCGGAAUUAUUGGGCGUAAAGAGCGUGUAGGCGGUCCGGUAAGUCAGCUGUGAAAGUCAAGGGCUCAACCCUUGAAUGCCGGUUGAUACUGUCGGGCUAGAGUCCGGAAGAGGUGAGUGGAAUUCCCGGUGUAGCGGUGAAAUGCGCAGAUAUCGGGAGGAACACCAAUGGCGAAGGCAGCUCGCUGGGACGGUACUGACGCUGAGACGCGAAAGCGUGGGGAGCAAACAGG
rnacentral:rRNA from 1 species